AACAGUGUGUUGGAAGGGAGAAAGAGCGAAGAGAAAUGGUAGGAAAGGUGCAAGAAUGGCGAUGCGUUUGGAAUUGGAUUCAUCGCCGGAAUUUGAGAUGCAGUCAGCAGCGUUUCUUGCACGACGGCCCAGACACCGUAGAGGAGCUUCUCGACAGGCACCUUGUCAAAAACAAAAACAAAAACGAUAACGACGAGUUCGAGAAUCGGAGGCAACUCACCAGCACUCGCCGCGAAGCGCUGAGUCUGUACCGUGACAUUCUUCGGGCCACCCGAUUCUUCAUGUGGCCCGAUUCCAGAGGCGUCAUCUGGCGCGACGUACUCAGACAAAAUGCCCGAACAGAAUUCGAACAGGCCCGCUUCGAAACCGACCCGGAAAUCGUAACCCGACUGCUUAUCGGGGGACGCGAAGCCCUACACUCCGCUAUCGACAAGCUCGCCGAGAAGCAUAGACAUAACAUUCAGAAAGAUAAUCCCUCUGAUUCCCAUCCACGCUGAUUCAUAAGGUCUUGAAAGUGAAGGACUGGAUUCGAUCAAUCGUUUUGUGAUAUGUUUUCAGGGGAAGAACAAAAUUAAACAAGCCUCUCCCUACUAUUUUCACACUUGACAUUUGUUUUGCCAGAGCCCGUUGUUCAUUGCGAAUUCUGUGGUUAAAUCAUUAAAAUUCAUUGCCAGACACCAAUCGCUGUAUCCUUGCUGUUUGACAUUGUUCUUUCUGACAGGGUUCUUACUUGUAUGGCAUGAGCAUUCGGGAUUAUUGUAGGGAUUGGAUUAGAGAAGGACCUGUUGUUCAGGCAUUGAAACAAAAAUCUAUUGAUGUGGAAUAUCAGUUCAACCACGCAGCUGCUGAACUCGCAUAUUAGAAAAUUUGUUGACAAGUUCUGAUAACAAGUUUAUCGUGUAUAUAAAAAACAUGUAUAUAAAAUUAUCUGUGUAAUAACAUUACUAAUGUGUUUGGAAUGACAGUGGGAGUUUUGCUUU